rnacentral:lncRNA from 1 species
CCAUGGCAAGCACAGAAACUGAACUAGGGGAUUCGAAAUCUUCCCACAAAGAAAAGCCUAGGCCCAACUGGCCUCUAUGGCUCACACCCCUUUAUUAACUGAAGCUGACUUAACCCGAACUAUCUGAAGCUGACUCAACCCGAACUAUCCGAGAUCACACGUAAAUGUUUUCCUUCUGAUCUCAACUUUUCUCCUUAUCGUGGGGCAUGGAAAGGAGGAGAUCGCAGCAGGGAAGUUUUUGUUCUUGUUCACAUGCUAACAAUGGUAAGCUUCUUAAAAGUGAAUCACAGUAGCAUCACAGAGUUUGGACAGGUGAUGUAACUAGGAGCUACGAAAAUUGAGUGCCAUAAAAGAAUCAUCUUUAAAUACUGAAGUGCUUCUGUAUGCUUGAAUUAUACAGCAUUUCCUGUUUCAAAGCAGUUUCACACAAUCUCAUUUAACACUUUUAAAGUCAUAGUAGUUGAACCGAGUAUAUCGCACCCCUGUUACGGCUUUUUCUUGAUUAUAGGACAAAAUGAAAAGAACUUUUAUGAUCUGGCUCCAAUUAUACUUUCAAGGUUCAAGUCUUCCCAUCCGGUGUCUGUGAACUCAAGAGAAGCCUUUCAUUCUAGACAUAGUAGUUAUUUUCUAAAUCAUCUUUAAACUUAUUUGCUGGAAUAUUGUGGGGGUAAAGUGCAAACUUCCCCUUCACCAUCUGAAGGUUUGCUAAAAAUCAACAGGCAGAAGGCGAAUUAACAGGAGAAAUGGCAUGCCAAUUUGUUUGAUCACAGUUUUACAUGAAGAAUGAAGACCCAAAGACACAUGAGAAAUUGUCCAUUUUUAUGCAACACCAGACCAGGCGAUGCUCUAAGACAGGUACAACAAAGUAUGGACAUGCGUGUAGAAAUACGAGUCAACUAAAGGGUGUGAUCUACUGCUAAUAGGCUGAGUGGGGACACCCAGACUCUUCCUGGCCCCUGUGAGCAGCUUCCUUUCCUUCUGGUGUGGGGCAGGAACUUCUCUGGAAUGGGGAUCUUCUGACCCACAGUCAAACAAGAAUUGGACAGAAGUCACAUCAGGGAGACCAGAGACUAGAGUAUUGCAUCAUAGAGGAAAGACACUGAUGACAAGACCUCAGGGGAGCAGUGGAACUGGAGGCCUGGGAGCUUGGGACGUGUUCUCCGGGUGAAGUUGGCUGGCCAGCUGAUGACCUACACCAGUGCCAUUCACUCCUCAUGUGUCCCCCGGGAAUUCAUAGUGUGUGUCAUCAGGUAAAAGCAACACUACUUUCAGAUGUUUUCUGAUCUCUUUGAGAUCUGGACAACACUACUGUGUACAUAUGGCCAGCAACAAAUUACACUCAAUGAAUAUUUUAGAGAGCAGCAAAGUAAUCAAUUAAAAUGUGGGUAAACAAAAAUCACUGUGAUCACAGCUCUGUCUACAUGGUUCUUUGGUAAAAAAUUAGAAUCCUGGGGAUUAGUCUGAGGAUAAAUAUUAUUUAAAAAGCAUUUUGGUUAAAUAGUAAUUAGUAAAUUUUGCUCUGCCG